UACGAAGGGGGGCUAGCGUUGCUCGGAAUCACUGGGCGUAAAGCGCACGUAGGCGGAUUGUUAAGUCAGGGGUGAAAUCCUGGAGCUCAACUCCAGAACUGCCUUUGAUACUGGCGAUCUUGAGUCCGGGAGAGGUGAGUGGAACUCCGAGUGUAGAGGUGAAAUUCGUAGAUAUUCGGAAGAACACCAGUGGCGAAGGCGGCUCACUGGCCCGGUACUGACG
rnacentral:rRNA from 1 species